rnacentral:rRNA from 1 species
UACGUAGGCAGCAAGCGUUGUUCGGAAUUACUGGGCGUAAAGAGUGUGUAGGCGGUGCUCUAAGUUCGGUGUGAAAUCUCCCGGCUCAACUGGGAGGGUGCGCCGAAAACUGGAGUGCUGGAGCGCGGGAGAGGAAAGCGGAAUUCCUGGUGUAGCGGUGAAAUACGUAGAUAUCAGGAGGAACACCGGCGGUGUAGACGGCUUUCUGGACCGUAGCUGACGCUGAGACACGAAAGCGUGGGUAGCAAACAGG